UUAAAGGUUGUGGCUUUGUAUUUCGGUGCAAAGAUUUACUAUAAAAACUCAAGCACACUUUGGAAAAGUUAUCAAACAGUCUUUACUUUCGUAUUCAAUUACAAGUGUUCGCUUGCGCAACAAACCAAAACGUAAAAUGUUCAAUCUCUACAAAGUGCUCAUCGUCUUCGCCGCUUUGGUGUGCAUCGCUGCUGCCUACCCAAGCAUCAUAGGACCAGCCAUCGUCCCCGGUCUUGCCUCAACUGUUGUUGUGGGACCAGUCGGACCUAUCGGACCCGUUGUGGUGCCCGGUCUGGGUCAUGGCGCCAUUCUUGGCAACCCUCAUUUACUUGGUUAAAUAACUACUUCUAAGCUAUACUAAUUGGACUGCCAACAUUUCCCAAUGGACAACUCCCUUUGCACACCUACUCACCGUUACUAUUUCUCACCCAACAUCAUUUCCACGAAUGUUAGGAAUUUCGCAAAUUUAGUACAUUUUUGUGUUUCGUUCGUUGCAUUGUUGCGCACUCCUUACCAACUAUCAAUAAGUAAUUUUUUGUAAAUAUAUAUUUUCUUAAUUUGAUUUGAAUAAAUAUGCAAUAAACCAAUUAAA